UGGGCUGUGGCAUUCAGAGUUCUCAUAAACAAAGGCACAUUGCGCUCGGGCUCCAGUCUUCGCGUGCUGUCGACAGUGGCAGUGGCUCUACAUGCAGACGGAACUUCUAUCAACAGGAACAGCUACAUGGAUACAUAAUUUGCAACUUAUUUAAUAGCGAUUUGAGAAAAGCAAAAGAACGGAGAGACACGCUCUGACAUCAACCCCUGUUACGAGCCCUGACUUCAGAGAUUGUUCCACGAGAGAUAAAAGUAGCAGGUGUGCGGAGCCAUGCCCUGCGUCCAGGCU